rnacentral:rRNA from 1 species
UACGUAGGGGGCAAGCGUUAUCCGGAUUUACUGGGUGUAAAGGGUGCGUAGCCGGAAAUGCAAGUCAGAUGUGAAAGCCCGAAGCUCAACUUCGGGAUUGCAUUUGAAACUACAUUUCUAGAGUGCAGGAGAGGAAAGUGGAAUUCCUAGUGUAGCGGUGAAAUGCGUAGAUAUUAGGAGGAACACCAGUGGCGAAGGCGACUUUCGGGACUGUAACUGACGGUGAGGCACGAAAGCGUGGGGAGCAAACAGG